GGCCCGUUAGCUCAGUUGGUUAGAGAGCGUCGUGCUAAUAACGCGAAGGUCGCGGGUUCGAUCCCCCUCACAUUGGCCA